AUGAACGCUAGCUACAGGCUUAACACAUGCAAGUCAGGGGCAGCAUGUGGUUGCUGCAACCAAUGAUGGCGACCGGCGCACGGGUGAGUAACGCGUAUCCAACUCCCCUAGUAGAGGAUAGCCCGGCGAAAGUCGGAUUAAUACUCUAUGUUCUUCAAUGCGGGCAUCUAAGUUGAAGCAAAGAUUUAUCGCUAAGGGAUGGGGAUGCGUCUGAUUAGGUUGCAGGCGGGGUAACGGCCCACCUGGCCUACGAUCAGUAGGGGUUCUGAGAGGAAGGUCCCCCACACUGGUACUGAGACACGGACCAGACUCCUACGGGAGGCAGCAGUGAGGAAUAUUGGUCAAUGGGCGCGAGCCUGAGCCAGCCAAGUAGCGUGCAGGAACCGACUGCCCUAUGGGUUGUAAACUGCUUUUAUCAGGGAAUAAAGUGAGGCACGCGUGCCUUUUUGUAUGUACCUGAUGAAUAAGGACCGGCUAAUUCCGUGCCAGCAGCCGC
rnacentral:rRNA from 1 species